rnacentral:rRNA from 1 species
GCUCCAGUAGCUAUCCACAUGUUGUUGCAGUUAAAAAGCUCGUAGUUGAAUGUCUGGGAUUUGAGUCUGCCGCUCAGCGGCGACUCUGCCGCCCCGCCGAAAGGCGCUUUUACUGUGAAAAAAUUAGAGUGUUCCAAGCAGGCCUAGCCUGAAUACCUUAGCAUGGAAUAAUAACAUAGGACUGUCUGUGAUGUUGUUGG